GCUGUUGUAGCUCAGUGGUAGAGCACUUCCUUGGUAAGGAAGAGGUCGUCAGUUCAAGCCUGAUCAACAGCU
rnacentral:tRNA from 1 species